GUUUUAUGACUUUUAUUAGUGUAUAAGCUUAAUACUGCUUAUAUGUUGUUCAAAUUCAGCCAGAAGUCCGUGUAAAUUCCCUUUAAAUACUCUACAUUUAUGAAGAUGGAAUUUACCAAACAAUAUUAAAACGUUGAUAAUGUA